rnacentral:lncRNA from 1 species
AUUGUGUGUCCAAACCUUGUCAAAAUGGAGGCUCAUGUCAGAUAUCUUCUUCCGAUUUCACAUGCACUUGUGCAGCAGGUUACACCGGAACUUCUUGUCAGAGUAAGUAUAGUUCACAAUGUCACCAAACACAUAGCAUAUAGUUCUGAUUCGCCUUACACAUUUUUUCAGAUUAAUUAACUGUUACGUAUUGCAAAUGUCAUGUAAACAAUUGCCAUCAUUUUUUUUUGCAAGAAACUAUUGAUACUUCGAAAAUCAAAUCUAGCUAGUUAAACAUCGACCUUAAACUAAGCCGCACAUAAAUGUUUUUGUUCAAAGUCACAAUCUUUUCUUUUGAUAUUCUCAAAGCAUUUUCUAAAAGUUACCUUCUCGCAUUUUUUUUUCAAUUCUUUCAUUUAAUUUAGCUUCUGGUCGUAUAAUGCUGCUCCCCUCGUAUAAUCCAUCUGUAGCUUGAGAAAUUGCUCGGUGACCGUUCAUAUUUAUAAUAUUUUUGAACAUUUCACAAUAUAUUCUACGUUUAGGCAAAGUAUGAACAUAUUCUAUCAUUUUAAAUUUAAGUUGUUGGCAUGACACAGGUUAUGUUCUUCCCAUAUAUUUUAUAAUUGUAUAAUACUAAACCUCUUACGGGAGAAAUUGUGCUUGAUAUUCAUAUGAUGAAGACAUAAUCUUUCAAUCAGUGUAAUUGAGGUCUGGAACUGGCUUGUCAGUAACUGAUUGUAGUUCUUUUUAAAUUGAUGUAUUAUCGUCAUUUUGUUUAGUUAUUUUGUAACCAUUUCUGAUACCGGACUCUUGUUUUUUUCUACAUUGGCUAUAGGCAUACUGAGGGGGAGGUUGAGAUCUCAGAAAGCAUGUUUAACCAGGACGCAUUUUUGCGCCUGUUCUAAGUCAGGAGCGUCUGGCUUAUGUUAGUCUUGUAUGAUUUAUAGUUUUAAUUCUUAUGUAUAAUUCGGAGUUUAGUAUGACGUCCAUUAUAACUGAACUAGUAACAUAUUUGUUUAGGGGCCAGCUGAAGGACUCCUCCGGGUGCGGGAGUUGCUCGCUGCAUUGAAGACCCAUUGGUGGCUUUCGGUUGGUGUCUGCUCUAUUGUCGGGUUGUUGUUUCGUUGACACAUUCCCAAUUUCCAUUCUCAAUUUCAUCCUAUAUACCACGUUAAAGAUGAUAUAUACCUUUUUGCGUUUUGUCAUAUAUUAUAAUAAUAUAUAAUAAUACCCUAUAGACGCAGACAGCUGCCAAGACUGGUGGUAAAUAAAACAGAAUUUCAAUUUGAACGUUUAGUCGUGGUGUUAACCAGUAAGAAAUAGGUUAAAGAUCCGAAGUGGUAAUUCAAAACAUAUAAGUCGAAAUAUUUGAAAAAAUAAGAACCGAAAACACACACUACUGUUCAAACGAAACAAUUUCAUCACAGUUUCAUCAUGUUCCGUGCAUACAUAUCACAAAAUCACUUUUGAUGUAUGCAUGUAUAGCUGUCUGCUAUAUCAAACCAUGCUAAAUAUUUUAUGUGAAUAUACUAUUUGUAUAUGAUUUGUUUACGAGCUACUCUCCAACAAUUGUUUACAAUAGCAAAAUUGUGUAUAUUUUGUCUUCAUAGAAUAAUAUGAUUGUACAACAUGUUUGAUGAAGUUCUGAUAUGAAUGCAUCUUUUUCAAUUUCCUUCCAUUGGAUACAAAUAAACGCUCUAGUUUUAUUACACCUUUUCGUAUAUAAUUGGGGUGAUAUGUUGAUCUUAUUUUGUCAGUUAUCAUGUACAAUAAACUCAUCAUAGAUACCAGAAUUAAAACUAACAUAUUUUAAUAUCUUAAUGAAAUGUUGAUGCUAAAUGAUCAAAAUAUUUCAUGGGUAUACAUUCUGUGCGUUUAAUUAAAACAAAAACCGGUGAACAUAUUUUUUUUAUUCUUUAAUGGCUAAUUUAGACAUAAAAGCAGUGAAGGUGAAUCCUUUAUAUCUUCAAAAUCUUCCCAGGAAACAAUUCACGGAUGCUUUCCCGUAUGCAGUGACCUUUACUGCGAGACCUCUCGUUGUAAUUUUGUUCACUGCACAGCGUAAGUGCAGAAAGGCAAGGGGAACAUAAACGCACGUGCUAUAAAUGGUAAAUAGAAAUAACAGAUUCUUACAGAAAAAAUUAAUGCAAAAAAUUAAUUAACCACUGUUAAGACAUAAUAUAAUAAACAAACGGAAACGCAUGGAAAAUUUACAUUAAACAAAACAAAUGCCAGGGCCCUUUCCAGACACUAACUAUCAUACUUUACACGCUCUCUGUAAUCCUUGUUUAUCAAUGUCACGAUCUGAAAAACUUCGGCAACCAACUCGAACAUUGAUUAGUUAGCUUCAAUAACAACAAUUUGUAGAUAAUACAUUAUAGAUAUGUUAUAAAUAUAAAAAAAGAUACAAAACUAAUGUUAUAAUAUAUGCAUGCAUUUGUUCAAUAGUUUCUUUAAAACUAAAAAAAUCAAGCAACUCUUAUAUAAUCCUCAUAUGAUCUUAAAGUAUAUGUUUAUCAAAAUCAGCUUCCACCAAUACUUUCAUUCUGCAGUCAAACUUAUCUAAUUUCAUAUACAAAAAUGAAAUUGACUUCUUGAUUUAAAACAAGUUAAACAAAACAAGGAACAUGCUUUUUUAAUAGGAAUAAUAAUUACCGUUAUAUGAAAGUGAUUUUUAGAGUAAACUUGUCUGUACCUUUUUACUCAUCCUCAUCACUUGACAAAAUAUUAAUCAAAACUUAUAAAAAAAGCUAGCGAAUCUUUAACUCCUUCAACUCUGAAACCUUAAAUGUAAAUUACAACAAGUGGUGAUGGGAUGAUAAUGUUGAUUGCUAGCAUAUUCUUGCUACUACCGCAAUCACACGAGUCCACGAUCGCGCUACGAUCCGUAAAAAAAUGAAAAUUUUGACGAUCGUAGUGCGAUCGUGCAGAUCGCAUUAAGUUCGUAGUACAGUCGUGUUGCGGUCUUUAAGAUUGUGAUGAGCGUGGCCAACUUUGAACAUGUUUAAAACAAUCAUGGUGCGGUCGUGGCUUAUUGUUAGGUCGUAGUAACAGCCUAGUGAGAUCGCAGUAAGGUUGUGGCAAGAUCGCAAAGGUCGCUUUACCAUCGUAGCGACAGCGUAGCGAAAGCCCAGUUCUAAUCGGGGAUAUUGCGCUUCGAUCUCUCAGCGGCUCUACUAUAACCUCACUACUACCAACACGUUCUUACCGCGACCCAAAAACGUUUCCACGAAGACUAUACCACAUUUAUACCAGGCUUAUAUCACGCUGUUGAAGACAUAAUACGAUUUAAGUACGCCCAUGUCGUCUUCCUCACGCUGUUCACGUUCAUACUACGAUCAUCAUGCUCAUUGUCAUUGUCAUUUUAACUUGACGUACCAGCAAUAAGUUGUGAUUCAGGUUGGAUUGGUCGUACCGACAUAUAUCUUCUGGAUCAAGAUUCCCUAUAGUUUGUGUCAUUUUGGUCUCUUGUGGAAAGUUGUCUCAUUGGCAAUCAUACCACAUCUUCUUUUUUAUAUUAUAUUAUUUUUCUAUGAUACUUGUUGUAUUCUUGCCUUCCAUUUUUGCAUAUGUGCUUUGUAUAAAUGCCUUGUGAGCUACCAUUUUAAAUAUUUGUUUGGUUUUAUAGUGAUUAUAACACAAUUUUGACUGCUGUAUCCCUAUUUGUGACAUUUUUACCCUUAUGACAGUUUGUUUUGUUAUCACAUCGUUGUCAGUAUUAUUGACUUUGAUGCGAUUGUCAUACAAGUGAAUGGUUUGGCUAGCUAUAAAACCAAAUCAUAUUUAUCAUUUUUUACAUAAGAAAAUGGAUUUACCAAGUCAGACACAUGACAGUAGUUUUCCAUUCGUUUGAUGUGUUUGAGCUUUUGAUUUUUCUAUUUGAUAAUGGACUUUUCGUUUUGAAUUUUUUUUACCUCGGAGAUCAGUAUUUUUGUGAUUUUAAAUCAUAUAUUUCAGCUAUAAACCGUAAGUACUAAUCAGUAGAUAGUGAAAAAUAUAGCUUGUAGCUUAUCAAGGAAUGCAAUGUAGAUACCAUAUAAACGAAGACAUCUGUCAAAACCGAUGAUAUAUAAAGUUGACGUUUAAUUUUAACGAUUAAUCAUGUUGUUAUCCAGUAAGAAAUUUGUUCAAUCUACAAAAUGGACAUUCAAAACUCAUAAGUCGAUAUAACUGAUACAAUAAGAACCAUAAAACACACAUUGUUAUACAAAUGAAACCAUUCCAUCUCUGUUGUAUCAUGUUCCGUGCACAUACAUUACAUAUCACUUUUGAUGUAUGCAUGCGUAGCUGCAUGAUAUCCCAUACCAUGCCAAAUAGGUUACUAUUUGUAUAUGAAUGUUUUAUAAUCUUCUCUCCACCUUUUAUUUACAAUAGCAAAAUUGUAUAUAGUUAGCCCUCAUAGAAUAGUUAGAUUUUAAAUGUCCACACAAUAUGUUUUAACUAGUUCUGAUAUGCAUGCCUAUAUUUAAUUUUCCUUCAAUUGCAUACAAUUGAACGAUUUUGUUUUACUUUACCUUGACUCAUAGAAUAAGGGCCAUACUUUGAUUCUGAUUCUAUUUUUUCAUUUAUAUGACAAUAUAUCAAUAUCUAAAUGGAAUGUUGAUGCUAAAUGAUCAAAAUAUUUCAAUGACUAACUUUAUGUUAAAUCUUUAGACUGUAGCAGCAAUCCAUGCAUUCAUGGACAAUGCAACAAUGGUCUCUCUGGAUACACGUGUUCAUGUUUACAGGGAAUCACUGGUUCUAACUGUAAUACAG